ACAACAUUCGGCGUCGGUUUACCGAGCAAAUAUCACCCGCUCAGUGGAAGAUCUUCCCUUUGUCGU
rnacentral:pre_miRNA from 1 species